AGGCCCCGAGGCGGAUCGGGUAUUGAGUCCAUGGAGCGAGCUGAGAGCUAGAGAACCUGCUAAGGCCAUCAAACCUAUCGAUCGGAAGUCAGUCCAUCAGAUUUGCUCUGGGCCGGUGGUACUGAGUCUAAGCACUGCGGUGAAGGAGUUAGUAGAAAACAGUCUGGAUGCUGGUGCCACCAAUAUUGAUCUAAAGCUUAAGGACUAUGGAGUGGAUCUCAUUGAAGUUUCAGACAAUGGAUGUGGGGUAGAAGAAGAAAACUUUGAAGGCUUAACGAUGUCACCAUUUCUACCUGCCACGCAUCGGCGAAGGUUGGGACUCGACUGGUGUUUGAUCACGAUGGGAAAAUCAUCCAGAAAACCCCCUACCCCCACCCCAGAGGGACCACAGUCAGCGUGAAGCAGUUAUUUUCUACACUACCUGUGCACCAUAAGGAAUUUCAAAGGAAUAUUAAGAAGACGUGCCUGUUUCCCCUUCGCCUUCUGCCGUGAUUGUCAGUUUCCUGAGGCCUCCCCAGCCAUGCUUCCUGUACAGCCUGCAGAACUAUACAACAACCAGAGAAAGAUAAGCAAGAAAAUAAAGCACUUGGACGGGCGCGGUGGCUCACACCUGUAAACCCAGCACUUUGGGAGGCCAAGGCAGGUGGAUCACCUGAGGUCCCGAGUUCAAGACCAGCCUGACCAACCCCAUCUCUACUAAAAAUACAAAAUUAGCUGGGCAUGGUGGCACAUGCCUGUAAUCCCAGCUACUCGGGGGGCUGAGGCAGAAGAAUCGCUUGAACCUGGGAGGUGGAGGUUGUGGCAAGCCGAGAUCGCGCCAUUGCACUCCAGCCUGGGCAACAAGAGCAAAACUCCGUCUCAAAAAAAAAAAAGAAAAAGAAAGAAAGAAAAUAAAGCACUUGAAGGGCA
ensembl:lncRNA PMS2P4 PMS1 homolog 2, mismatch repair system component pseudogene 4